AGAACCAUUGUUCAGCUCUAGGGGAGAGGAGGUUGAAGUUCUAAGAGUCUUCUCUGAAGCACUGGUGCGAAACCUUUUCCCUCAGUCUCUAUGGGGACUGGCAGUCAGCCACUGUGCCUUAAAUGAGAUUGUUGCCUUAAAAGGUAAACCCCACAACAUAAGCCUAUCAGUGCCUCAGUUUUCUCUCAUAGCUCAACUUUUGAAAACGAGAAUAAAUUAGCAUCAAACAUUGUCAUUCCAUCAUGGAUAGAGGUACUGCACAUACUGUGCUACAACUAAAAUAAGGGCUCUCCUUAGAGGAAAGCUAAAACAGUGUGUCGAAACCUACUGAUAAUGGUUUGUGGCUCUGAUCACAGGAGUCAGUGAAAUGAGUUGAACAAUUACAUUUAUGGCUUAGUAAUGGUAAGGGAUUUUACUGUUGUAGAUAAAAUAUUAACUUCUAUAUUCUGCAUCUGUAACUUUAUUGGAUUAAAUGAGCCUUGAAAUGUAUCACUUUUUUUAUUGCCCGGGAGACAUGGACAGUGGUGGAUACUGGAGGUGUCCAUUAGUAUAACAGUGAAACCAGUGGAAAGUGUCACAGUAAUUCUGAGACUAAGUGUGUGGAUUUCUUCCUAUGUAUAUUGAACAUGGCUUUGUCCUACCAUAAUAGUUUACUCUGUAUAGCCCUUCACAUUGACUUUGUCAUCCGUGCCCUAAGUGCUGGACCUGCUGGUGCGGUGGCUAUCAGACCCAGACAACCUCAACCAGCUGGUGGUGAGUCGGCUGGAUGGAGUGACCCCCAAGAGCUCUGUGGAAGAGCUGUGUGAGUCUAACUCUGACGGGGCCUCUCCAGCCGCCCUGGAGAGCCAGACCAGUGAUGCCCAACAAAUUGAAGGAAGGCUGGUCUAAAAUCCUUGACAAGAUGAAAUCGAAGAAAGAUAAAAGGAAGAAGAUGAAGAAAAAGGAGCAGGUGCUGGUGGUCAGAGCCAAGUCUAUCCAGGAUUGUUCAUCAAAGGAAAGUGAAGGUAGUAGCCGGGAGUGUUCCAUCCAGAGGCAGCAGGACCCCGACAGCGAGGAUGGUGAUCUGGAGAGCUACUUGACCAGCGUACAAGAAGAAAUGAUGGAAUUCAAGCUGUCAUAUGAGAUGUGGCGGGUUGGCCACUGGGCUGUCAGCGUCCCUCAUAUGGAGAGGGAAAAUGAGGAGAUGUGUUUUACAGUUCACCUAGAAGAGAGGGAUAACCCUGAGAACCUUCACUGGGAUGUAAAGAAGACCCAGACGGACAUCAUCCAUUUCUGCAACCUAUGGCAGGACUCUGCUAAUUUACCCUCCCUAUCCGUGUUAGAGGCAAGCACUGAGAGUAACAGCGAGGAUUUUAGAGAAGCCAAAACGUCCCUCAAGGUCUUCUUACAGGAGCUGGUCUCUGAUGCUCUGAUGGGCCACACUCAGCCAGUGUUUCAGUUUCUGUGUCCUCUGGACAAGCUGCUGAGUGAAGAGGAGCAUGUAGGGGGAGUGUGGGGUCUCCUUAGUGGCCUGGCCUACUUCCUGUCUCCAGGGCAAGAGGAAGAUGAGGACAAGCACAACACUCUUCAAAGAGGGACCAAAUCAGAUGAUUCCAACACACCUGAGAAUGCAGACUCAACUGCAACUGAGAAGCUGAAUGAAAACAUUGGUGAUACAAGGGAUGGUUCUCUUUCAGAACCAAGUCCCAUUGAGUGCUGCAGAGGUAAAGUGAUGGUGCCAGUAGAGAAAUCAGACUGUUUGGUUAAUGCAGGCAAAACCGAGGACACAAAAGAGGAAUCGGAGAACCCUGUAACUUCUCACCUAAAGAUGAUCAACAAAGAACUAUCCAGAUCAGAGGAGUGUCUGGCCCAAACAAAAUCCGACAACCCUGAAGACCAGACCGACUCUGUCUGUAGGCCGCGACAUUUCAGUCAAAAUGGAGGCUCGCAAUAUGACCUCGCUGACAGUCCGUCAUGGUGUUAUUUAGUUGGAAAGUCAAAUAAAAAGGAUAAACUCACUUUCAAAAUGUCAGGAGGGAUCCACAGGAGUAGAGUAAAGGACAUGGGGAGUCAGUCAAAAUUAGAAGACUCGCAGUGUUUGAAAAAGAACCAAUCCAGCUGGGAGCAAAUGGAAGCAACCAAAGCCAUUUUUGAUUUGUUGAAAGCAAUAUCUGGUAAUUCCAUCCUCCUGAACAUAUUUGAUGCGAUUCUGAAACCCGUCAUGCCGAUAUUGAAAAAGAAAGUGAAAAGCUUCUUGAAUAAGAUGAACCCAACGGAUGCCCAGAUGGCCUCCUAUAUCGAUAACCUAUGUGACAAACAGUGGCCUGAGGGCUCGCCAGAGGUGACCAGCCCUAAACCCCACCGCAGCAGUCAGGAAAAGAACGAGACCAAAGACCGAGCUCAGCACCUCAUCAAUGCCAGAUAUUCAAACUAUUUAAUCUUGAAGAAGACUGAUAUGGAGACAGUGUUUAAGCUCUUCCAGGACUGUGAAGAAAACAAGAAGCUGGUCUAUAUGCUGCUUUCAUUCCUUUUGAGAGAGCUUCUGCCGGGUGAGGAUGCCCUUAAUGUGAGUGCCAUAACCCUGCAGAAAGUGAACGCCAACUAACUCAUUUUAAGAUGUUCACAGGUCAUGCUUUUAAAUUAACUGUAGUUCUGAUGUUUUAGAAAAUUAAACAAUUUAUUUGAUUGGUUGUCAUGCCUUAACAGUCCCAUUUAAGUCUACACUUGGUGGGAGUAUUAUAAUAAAGAAAUCUUAUGAUACAUUUCCAGAGAAGUAUAUUUUACCUCAUACAUUAAACAUGCUGUGAAUCAUGCCUAUUAUUUAAAAUGUAUCAUAUGUUGACGUGUUAUGUAUUUGGCAAUAUCAGCACACUAAUGUGAGGUUAUUCAAGUUAAAACAUCCUCUACCGGUGACAAUGGCGUACAUCGUUAAUCUCAGAGGGGGCAUAAAUGUACUUUGAUUUCACUGGUAGUGACACACAGAGCACUUUGAAUAAAAUGUUGAAGUUUUGACCUAAAGGGUUUUGAGCACUUUGAGCACUUUCAUAGUUGAUGGGGAGACGUGUUAUAUCAGAAGCUUUUGAGGAAAGUUGUUAAUAUUUUGUUAUUGGAUUUUGAGAAUUUCCAGAAAUUACAUACGCACCUGCCUUCUAAAAGAAAGCUUGCAAGACACUGAAUGUGAAAAUUAAGUGUCUUGUUAAUAAAGCUAUUUUAUAUAUAUCUAUAUUAGAUUUUCCUUGCUUCUUUGGCUGCGUUUACACAGCAAGCCCAAUUCUGUUUUGUUUUUUAACCAAUUGGCCUUUGACCAAUCAGAUCAGCUCUGAAAAAGAGCUGAUGUGAUAUGAUUGGUCGUAAGACCAAAUCAUGGAGAGAAAAAAGUCAUAAUUGGGCUGCCUGUUAACACAGCCUCAGACAUAUGCCUGGUAUGCUUUAGAUUGUGUGGUAGGUAUAUUCUGUCUUCUGAUUCUUCCAGUCCUGCCAUAUGGGAUUAAUGAGUUUUAACGAGUUUUUCUAUGUUGAGCAUUUUUAUGUUCACAAAAAAAAAUGGAUCAUUAAAGUAACUGUUUAGCGUUUCUAGAUGUCUAUGAAAUAGAACCUUAGAAAAUGAGUGAAAUUGUUUUCCUUCACAAAAAUGUAAGAAUAUUAAAAGGCAGCUUUUCUUUGUUGGAAUACUGUGUGUAUACCCCAUCAACAGAAUGGUGUGGGCGUAUACCGGUUGAUAGAAAUAUUAACCCAUGUAGAUGCCUGAUUGGCCAGUUCAUCCUCUUCAGGAGGAUAACAUCAUCCUCUGAGUAAAGGGCAAGUAUUUUUAAACUGUCUGAGAUGUGGGUUCGAAGUGCUUUGGCCACAUGAGUAUAGGAUGAGUCAAGAACUUUAUUUGGGUAUGAGUUAACAGAAUAUAAACUUAUAAAAGUCAGAUUUCACUGAACAGUUUCUUUAAAGCCCACAUGCAGUCUUUUUAAAAUUAUUUUUAAAUCACUAUGUGCAUGAAAAUAACUUUCUUAUCAACUUUAAAUAUAUUUACAUACACAGCCCUGAUUGGCAGAUAUAAUUGUCUAGACCAUGGUUUUUCAAACUCUUAUCUGUGAAAGUGUUGGUUUUUGCCCUAGCACUACACAGCUGAUUCAAAUAACCAACUCAUAAUCAAGCAUUAACUAUUUGAAUCAGCUGUGUAGUGCUAGGGCAAAAACCAAAAUAUGCACCCGGGGGGGGCCACAGGACCAAGUUUGGGAAGCCCUGCUCUAGAGAAGUGAUUCACAAACUUUAUUUGGUUACUGUACCCCAAAUCACAUUACAUUUGCUCUGUCUGGAGAACCCACAAAGUACCCCCUCAUGUUCAUGUUACCAGUAGGCCUAUGGUCACUCAUGAGUUUUCCCGAGUACUUCCUGUGGAUAGCACAAGUACCCCAGGUUGGGAACCACUGCUAUAAAACCAACCCUGCUUACCCCAUCAAAGAAGGAGGAUACGUAUGCAAAUAAAAGAUGACUGGUUAUUGGUCUGAAUAAUCAGAUCAUAUUGUGAUGUCAUGCUGUGGACCAAAAACUCCAUCUCACCUGAACUGGCUGAAUUAUAACAUUUUUGCUCGAAAAACUCUUACACUAAAAGAGCAUUAUCAACAUUUUGCAAAUUCCAGAGUGUUAUUUCGACCUCAUAGUGUGGAAAUGUCAUAAAAAAAAAAUGGAAAUCACAUUGUUAACUGCACUGCACCUUUAAUGCUAUGCCUAAUGAUGAUACCCAAGUAAUAUUUGGGUAUCAUCAAAAUAGUAAUAUUGAUCUAGC
rnacentral:lncRNA from 1 species